ensembl:rRNA 5S_rRNA 5S ribosomal RNA
CUUUACAGGCAUACCACCCUGAAUGAGCCCCAUCUUUUCUGAUCUCAGAAGCUAAGCAGGGUCAGGCCUGGUUAGUACUUGGAUGGGAGACCUUGGAAUACUGGGUGCUGUAGGCU